GCUCCUUGUCCGCACGAGCCUAAACUGUAUGACACAAGGCUCCUGCCUGCACGAAAAAGCAUGGCACCAACGCUCCUGGUCUGCACGAGCAUAAAAGGCAACACCAACGCAACACAACCGGUCUGCACGAGCAUAAAAGGCAACACCAACGCUCCUGGUCUGCACGAGCAUAAAAGGCAACACCAACGCUCCUGGUCUGCACGAGCAUAAAAGGCAACACCAAUGCUCCUGGUCUGCACGAGCAUAAAAGGCAACACCAAUGCUCCUGGUCUGUACGAGCAUAAAAGGCAACACCAAUAGCUCCUCGCCUGCACGAGCCUAAACUGCAU
rnacentral:lncRNA from 1 species